CGAACAAUAAAAAGCAUGACUGUUCGGUAUUUUAAUUGUACGAAAAGAGACCGGCAGCACCAGCUGAACGCAUGGAACUAUUUUGGGCAGGAGCCUCGUGUACGGCCAGGCAGGGAUGGGACUUCCAGCUAUCUCACGAACCCCUGAACCGAUUCGUAUGAUUUUUGCAUAUGUUUGUCCCCUAAUUAUGCUUGUUCUGAAAAUUUAAGUUUUAUUGGAAUCGAAUGUAUAGUUUUGAUGUUAUAAAAAUUUAGUAAAAAGUAUAUUUUUCGCUUGGCCAUAAUUGAGCUGAUACAGCAAUUAACUCGAUUAUCUCCCAAGCAGAGGGGAGGAAUUUACUCUAAUGAAUGUUUAACUGUGUAAAUGAUUGGUUGUUGAGUUUUUGUUUUUGGUGCCCAACAAGGUCCACAUGUUGGGGAAAAGUUGUAUAAAAGAAAUGCUUGUGUGCCCAUUAAAUCAGUUCCUGCUUAACCCC